UACGAAGAGGACUAGCGUUGUUCGGAAUUACUGGGCGUAAAGCGCACGUAGGCGGAUUGCUAAGUCAGGGGUGAAAUCCCGGGGCUCAACCUCGGAACUGCCUUUGAUACUGCAAAUCUCGAGUCCGGAAGAGGUGAGUGGAAUUCCUAGUGUAGAGGUGAAAUUCGUAGAUAUUAGGAAGAACACCAGUGGCGAAGGCGGCUCACUGGUCCGGUACUGACGCUGAGGUGCGAAAGCGUGGGGAGCAAACAGG
rnacentral:rRNA from 1 species